CUCAAGAGCGCCAGGACUGUCCUCGCUCUCCUGUUAUUCAUCUUGGCAUCGAUAGGAAGCGAUGAGAUCUUUCGUUCACUACGAUUCCAGCGGCAGCAGCAGCAAGCAGGAAUGUAAGUAGUGACUACUUUCUUUUGUCUUUCUUUCGAUCUUGUGACUCACAGUUUCUUUUUCGAGCAGGAACCUGAAUGUGGACAACACUUGUGUGCUCCUGCUCCUGCCAAGCGAAGUGAAUGGAGAGCUAAAGCCUGCACGGAGUUGAGACUGAUAGAUUUCGCAAUGCUGCAAGGAAGUGGCC
rnacentral:lncRNA from 1 species